rnacentral:misc_RNA from 1 species
AAGUCGUAACAAGGUUUCCGUAGGUGAAGGUUUGCCUACCGGAAGCGCCCCGCAGCGACUCUAAACAAGUGCCCCCCCAGUCGCCCCAAGCUAUGGGCUGGCAACGCUAUCAGUCUGCGCUGGGAGCCCCUCGCGUCGAGGGUCGACCAGCAGCUCUAGGGAGCCCUAGAGUCCACAGAUCAAACGAUAGCGGCCACCUGUCGUGGUUCAGAUAUGACCGGCCCCAACCGCUAAGCGGCUGGCGAGAUUGUUGCGGAACCUGCGGAAGGAUCAUUAUCGAGAGAGGGGGCUCACGCUCCCCGGGGGUUUUCGGCCCUGAACUCUUCACCCAUUGUUUACCUUACCUUUGUUGCUUUGGCGGUCCUCGGGGUCUCCCCGCGCUGGCUUCCGGGCUGGUGAGCGUCCGUCAGAGGCCUAUAAAAAUUCAUUUGUAUCAGUGCGUCCGAGUAAAACACAAUAAUAAAAA